GGUUCGCAUUGUAAUUUGUAGAGGAUGAUUUGGGGAAGCCGCCUGUCUAAGUUCCUUGGAACAGGACGUCAUAGAGGGUGAGAAUCCCGUAUGUGACAGGAAAUGGCACCCUAUGUAAAUCUCCUUCGACGAGUCGAGUUGUUUGGGAAUGCAGCUCUAAAUGGGAGGUAAAUUUCUUCUAAAGCUAAAUAUUGGCGAGAGACCGAUAGCGCACAAGUAGAGUGANCGAAAGAUGAAAAGCACUUUGGAAAGAGAGUUAAAAAGCACGUGAAAUUGUUGAAAGGGAAGCGCUUGCAAUCAGACUUGUUUAAACUGUUCGGCCGGUCUUCUGACCGGUUUACUCAGUUUGGACAGGCCAGCAUCAGUUUCGGCGGCCGGGUAAAGGCUCUGGGAAUGUGGCCUCCAC
rnacentral:rRNA from 1 species